rnacentral:rRNA from 1 species
GCCCUACGGGGCGCAGCAGGCGCGAAAACUUUACAAUGCGGGAAACCGUGAUAGGGGAACUCCGAGUGCCCGUAAAAUCGGGCUGUCCACCAGUUUAAAUAACUGGUGAAGAAAGGGCCGGGCAAGACCGGUGCCAGCCGCCGCGGUAAUACCGGCGGCUCGAGUGGUGGCCACUAUUACUGGGCUUAAAGCGUUCGUAGCUGGUUUGUUAAGUCUCUGGGGAAAUCUUCCGGCUUAACCGGAAGGCGUCUCAGGGAUACUGGCAGACUAGGGACCGGGAGAGGUGAGGGGUACUCCAGGGGUAGGAGUGAAAUCCUGUAAUCCUUGGGGGACCACCUGUGGCGAAGGCGCCUCACCAGAACGGCUCCGACAGUGAGGGACGAAAGCUGGGGGAGCAAACCGGAUUAGAUACCCGGGUAGUCCCAGCUGUAAACGAUGCGCGUUAGGUGUAUCAGUGACCACGAGUCACUGAGGUGCCGAAGAGAAAUCGUGAAACGUGCCGCCUGGGAAGUACGGUCGCAAGGCUGAAACU